rnacentral:rRNA from 1 species
AUUGAACGCUGGCGGCAGGCUUAACACAUGCAAGUCGAGCGGGGUGAUGGUGCUUGCACUAUCACUUAGCGGCUGACGGGUGAGUAAUGCUUAGGAAUCUGCCUAUUAGUGGGGGACAACAUCUCGAAAGGGAUGCUAAUACCGCUUACGUCCUACGGGAGAAAGCAGGGGAUCACUUGUGACCUUGCGCUAAUAGUUGCUCCUAAGUCGGAUUAGCUAGUCGGUGGGGGUAAAGGCCUACCAAGGCGACGAUCUGUAGCGGGGCUGAGAGGGUGAUCCGCCACACUGGGACUGCGACACGGACCAGACUCCUACGGGAGGCGGCAGUGGGGAAUAUUGGACAAUGGGGGGAACCCUGAUCCAGCCAUGCCGCGUGUGUGAAGAAGGCCUUAUGGUUGUAAAGCACUUUAAGCGAGGAGGAGGCUCUUUUGGUUAAUACCCAAGAUGAGUGGACGUUACUCGCAGAAUAAGCACCGGCUAACUCUGUGCCAGCCGCCGCCGUAA